UUUUGUUUGCUUUUCCAUUAAUCCACUGGUUUAGUUUCCAGAACGCAAUGUCAGACCUGAGGUGACAGAAAAGGGAAAACGUGAGAGAGUGUCUUCUUCCCUGAAGAGAGGUGGGCCUGAGGCUUGACAGUGGCGCUGCCUGAGUGACCUAGCCGCUGGGCUGGGCCCUGGACAGCUGAUCCCAGGUUCCUGCACUUGUCGCCACCCUUCCGUAGUCCACAGGCCUGAUGGCGGCGGCUGAGCCGAUGGGCCCGGCACAGGUUCCCAUGAACUCAGAAGUAAUUGUGGACCCUAUACAGGGAUACCUCAGACAAUGGCAGCUUUUGGAUUGAAAUAUUUGCUGAAUGACACUGGAUACACAAGCAGCAAGUCCAACACAAUCACAGCAACAGACUCUCCUGCAGACCUUCCCAGGAAGCCAGAGCCACACACACCAUCAUGGUCCUGGUGAGCUCCUUUUUUGUUUUCUAUUCAGUCCAUAGUUUUCUGACAAUUUGGACAACUGUAGUUGCAAACCCAGGCCAGUGGAUAGUGACCAACUCUGUGUUGGUCGCCUCAUGUUUCCCAGCACGCAGCCCUUUUGUCCUCAUCAUGAGUGAUACUCAUAUCUCUCAGUUCUGUUUUGCCUGCAGGACAAGGAAAACACUCUUUC
rnacentral:lncRNA from 1 species